CUUUUCCCUCAUUUUACAAAUUGGGGAAAUCUGAGGAAUUAAGUAAACCUUACCAAGGUUACAAAACCCAGCGCAAAAUAAUCCAGAGGAUUUGAGUUUGGUUAAGAACAAUGUCAGUGAACUCAGGUCUGACUCCAAUGUCAUCAACUUUUCCACAACCAAACUCAAAAGCUUACUGUUCACCUUUUGCUCUUAACUCACCAACUUCAACAUCAACAGCUGACAAUAUACUAUACAUCAAAUAUAUUAAAUAGAGAUAGGAGAAUCCCUGCCCUGAGGGAGUCCAGUGCAGCAGAGACAGAUUCAUUAACAGGUAAAUGUUAUAUACUGUAAGAAGCAUGAUGACAGAGGAUUUACUAGGGUACUGUUGGACUAAGAAAGAAAAAAAAACAAAAAAUGGCAGGGAAAGUCUCACACAAAGGCUCUCUUCAUCAAGCCAGUUUUGCCAGACACAUUUGGGAAGCAGAGCAUUCCAAGAAUUAAAAGUUAUUAAAAAUAAGCCCAACUGAAGUGUAUUUUUAUUUUUGUUAACAGUAUCAUCUGUCACAUGCGAAAUUCCUAUUAUGAGCUAGGUACUUCGAGGGCUUUUUAAACUAUUACACAAUCAUUUUUGAAAUUUAAAAACUGAAGCUCAGAGGUGAAAUAAUUUCCCAAGCUACAGUAAGUGAUAAGCAAGAUACUAGCCUUGCUCUUUCUGGCUAAUAGCAAUUAUUAAAUUAUAACAUGACUUUCCAGUAUCUCUCAUGUACCUUCACUUGUCUAUAGUCACUAUCUGUGUGCCUAGUUCAAGGACUACCUUAACUAUCCAAGUAAUUUCAUAGUAAUCCUUUUCAUCUUUUGUCUUUCUCCAUCCCAUCUAGGCUUCAUAUUGCUGCCAUUACUCUCCCAAAGCACAUACCUGAUGUCAUUAUCCAAAAGAAAUCUUUUCCUUGAAGUACAGAACAAGGUCUAAAUUUUUUUUUUGGAGACGGAGUCUCACUCAGUCGCCCAGGAUGGAGUGCAAUGGCGCCAUCUCAGCUCACUAAAAGCUCUGCCUCCUGGGUUCACGCCAUUCUCCUGCCUCAGCCUCCCGAGUAGCUGGGAUUACAGGUGCCCACUACUAUGCCCGGCUAAUUUUUUUGUAUUUUUAGUAGAGAUGGGGUUUCACCAUGUUAG
rnacentral:lncRNA from 1 species